rnacentral:rRNA from 1 species
UACGGAGGGUGCAAACGUUGCUCGGAAUCAUUGGGCGUAAAGCGCACGUAGGCGGCCUAGCAAGUCGGUUGUGAAAUCCCUCGGCUUAACCGAGGAAGUGCAGUCGAAACUACUGGGCUUGAAUACUCAAGAGGGUCUCGGAAUUCCCGGUGUAGAGGUGAAAUUCGUAGAUAUCGGGAGGAACACCAGUGGCGAAGGCGGAGACCUGGAGGAGCUAUUGACGCUGAGGUGCGAAAGCGUGGGGAGCAAACAGG